rnacentral:rRNA from 1 species
ACGGAGGGUGCAAGCGUUGUCCGGAUUUAUUGGGUUUAAAGGGUGCGUAGGCGGCUUUUUAAGUCAGUGGUGAAAUACAGCAGCUCAACUGUUGAGGUGCCAUUGAUACUGAAGAGCUUGAGUACAGAUGAGGUAGGCGGAAUUUAUGGUGUAGCGGUGAAAUGCAUAGAUACCAUAAAGAACACCGAUUGCGAAGGCAGCUUACUAAGCUGUAACUGACGCUGAGGCACGAAAGCGUGGGGAGCGAACAGG